rnacentral:lncRNA from 1 species
GAAAGGCUUUCUCCAAAUCCGGAGACUCGAUCUAAACUAGGUCAAUAGAAGGAGGGGCGGGGCGACAAGGAGGAGUCGGUUUUAAGCCUUGAUGGAGGGCUCUCUCUAGUGUCAGGCAGCGGUAAAACAGGAUUAGGUUUGAGCUCCCGGAACCACGGGGACUCCUAAUUUCCAAUAAAUGCAUUUAAUUUUAGCUUCCCUUCCUAGAUUCUCAUUCCAUCCCGUGUUAAAUUGCAGCCUUCGCUUUCACCUUUAUUCUACCCGGCGAAGGGAUGAGAAAGUGGGAUUUUAUGAGGCCAAAGAGGCCCCGUCUUUACUGACCCCGCCCCCGCUGCUGAGGUGCUGCGCGGCGCAGUGUGACGCUACCCUCCAGUUUUAGGACUGCGCUGCGGCCUAAGAGGCUGCAUAUUUCGCCUCCCUAGCACCGGGUCCCGCAGGUGCCUCUUGGAGUCCGAUGC